rnacentral:lncRNA from 1 species
UAUUUUUAAAACUUGUAUUCUCAUAUUUUGCGUGAUUUUGCUGAACAAAAUUUUAUUUACAAUAUACUGUGAGUAGCAUCAUUCCUGUCGAUGUCCUUUUCAGGCAAGAAGCAUGCUUAGGGCAGUUGUAUCAAUUUCAUAAGUUUCAUUAGAUUGAGUUGUGAAUUGAGUAGCUUUUACAUCAUUUUGCAUGAAUCUUUUUUUUUCUUUUUUUUUUUUGAAGUGUUUGGAAACGAAACUCUGGUCUGAAUUCAAUACUAGGGAUGACACCUUACUUAUCUGUCGUUUUUUUGAACCUUUGGAUGUUUGAACCACCGAAAGGUUGUUGAUGGUGGCUAUGUUAUUUCCGUAUGAUAUCCUUUUACGACAUGUUUGGUACGCGACUGGAAUUAUAAUCCGAAACAGGGUUGGAAUGGGUUGGAACCAACAUGGGAAUGACCAAUUCGAUUAGUUUUUUUUCGAAUGGAAUGAAUAACUACCAUUUUGCCUUCGAACGAGAUUAGACUUUGGGAUUAUAGGGCAGAGUUAAAACCGGUGGGUUAGAUGAGUCCCAUUCAGCAUCAGAGUGGGAGUUGGAAUGUGAUUCCCUCGAUCAAACGGUCGUCAUAGGAGAAUGAUCAUGUCCGGUUCCCCAACUGAAGUGCAAAAUUUCCGCAACCGCGCAUGCCCUUAGAAUACAUGAUUAAAAAUUAUCAGUGCUUUCACUGUUCUGUGAGGAGUUUUUGGGCUAUUAUUAAGCCUACAAAACCUUUUACAUAGAAAAAUAGGCAUCCAAAAUUUAAUAUUCACCGUUUUUACUCUAAUUUAUAUAUUUUCUAUAUCCAAAUUUUAAAACAUGUAUAGUAUUAAACACUAAAAGUAGCUUUAAUCCUUUGAAGAAAGUAUUUAGAAAGCGGUAAUUCAUUCACCGUAUAGAUUUAGUUUUGUAAAUAAACGUUUUGGAGGACUUUUUUUAUAAUUAUAGUAUUUUCUAAGUCUUUUAAGUAAAAAAAUUUCAUUGUGUGAUCUUGCAGAAAAGAAGAUUGAUGAGUUGCCGGAGAAGAAGACGCCGUGUUCUUGUUCCAUACUAUGAAGGGCACGACACCCCCGCCUCUUUUUCUCUUCGCCUCUAUUGCGAGCUCACGCCCGCUGUCCUAUAUAGUCUCUCAAUGUGUUGUCAAAAUGUAGCGAAAAAUUAGGGGGAAAAAAAGGAAAAAAAGGAGAAUAGAAUCACGACCACGAUUAAUGGAAUUGCUGGUUCAAAAAGGGGGUUGUUAUCUGUGUUGUAUUGUUUUGUACGUGUAUUAUUGUUUGUUGUUUGUUGUUGUUAUUGUUGUUAAUGAGAGAAGCAAGAGGAGAGCAUGUCGUCGGCUAUACACACGCAUAAUCUCUGCUCUUUAUUUAGCUGCGUUUAGGAGUGGCAAUCCAGCUCGUGUUCGGCUUGAAAUGAGUUCGAGAUUGAAUCGCUGAAUUUUUCAGCUCGUUAAAUAAACGAGCCGAACAUAAGUUGGGGUCAGCUCGCUCGUGUUCGGCUUGAUAACAGUUCGAAUAUAUAUAUUUUAUAUUUAUAUAAUUUAUUUAAUAUAUAUUUAUAUAUAUAUAUAUAUAUAAAUAAUUAUAUAUAUAAUAUAUAUUUUUAUUAUUUCGUCUUUAGCAAAAUUAAAAUAUAAAGUCGAGCCCAAUUAUAAAAAAAUUUAUUUAUAUUUAAAAUUUUAAUCAUUUGAUCAAAGUCUAAUGAAUAACAUUAUAUAAAUUUAAUUUUUAUAUGUAUCUAAUCUAAUUCUUUUAACUUAUUGUUCGUUGGAGCUGGCCCCAGCUCGCUCGUGUUCGGCUCGUUGACACCCCUAGCUCCGUUGCCACUGAGACCCCUGAACUUUUAAAUUCAAACAUUUUAGUCCUUAAAAAAUUUUUCCUCGGCUAUACACGCACAAAAAAUUGAUGACAGUUUGAGUUAAUUUCGUAGGGAUAAACCACCAGGAGACCUUCGGUUAGAGUACUAGAGACUCGUAAAACAAAAGCAUCAUUCACUUUUUUUAAAAAAAAUAUUGGUACCUAUAGAUACUCGCAGAUUGUCCAAAAUAUCCAUAAUUUAAUAUGUAAUCAUCCGUUUUACUCAUGAUUUUUUAGAUAAAAAAAAAAACUAAUACCCAUACAUGCAAACCUGCGAGUAAUUCAUAGGUACAGGUAGAGGUUGCCAAGUCCGAACACAGCAUAAAAAUCCAGCAACCCAACCGAAACAGAAUGAAGUUGAGCGACCAGUUACAUAAUCGGUCCGAGAAGACUCACUAAAAUGAGGCCUCAGUGGUGAUCAAGCCACUUUGUGGGAGAGCCAAUAUCCCCGCGCGGCGCGGUCCAUCGAGGAAAGCGAGAAGUGCACCUUAUAACAACGAAAACAUGUGUAAUAUACUUGCAUGUACAGCACUUGUUGUGCGACUCGGGUUCAUCAGCAACUGUACAAACUAACAAUCAGAUUCAUCACUAAAGAGGAAAAAACUAACGAAGAAAGAAAAAAGAUCCACCCCCCUCAGACCGCAGUAGUAGAUGUACUUCCUCGACAGGCACGGCAAAACGCUUCAAACACAGCAAAAGCAAGUCGAAGAUAAUGAUCAUAUCAAGUUCCGGUGUAAUCCUCGGCUCCUACCAAGAGUGCUAUGCAUGUAGUGAAAAUGGUGGGUUAGUGUUAGCAAAGAGUCAGUGAUGAUGGUUCUCUCUUGGUAGGCGUUUGUUUCUUCAUGGAGGGGGAUCUGGAAUCACUACAAAGCCCUACAUCGUAAAAUCCGUUUCAAAACAGGCGCAAUGAAAUGCAAUCACCUUCAGGUCUUUGUGCCGGCGUUUCAUUGCUUGGGCUUCUUCCGACAAGCACUCAACUUGUCCAUCAGAUCUUGUAUUGUAGCGGAAGCUUCCUUCAAAAGCAGAGAGAGAGAGAGAGAGAGAGAAGAGGAUGAAACCAAAUGGUAGAGGGGAUCUAAUAAUAUAACUGAAGUACUUGUUCGGGAAAAAAAAAACAAAGUAGAGAGCAGUGUUUUUCUACCUUUAGCUUCUUCCUCAAAUUCUCCUCCUCUUUGUCACGACGGGUCCUUUCUUCCGAAAAGAUGUCGAUUAGAGCUUCUUGCUCGCUGCUUGCGUGCUCCAGUUUUCUAUUUGCAUCUUCCAGCUGGGAGAUUCGUAAAGCAAUUAGAGGUUAAGAAACACAUGACAGGCAUAGAAAAAUUCCGUCUUGAUUAAGAUAAUUCGAAAGAGCAGAUCCAUAUAAAGGCGACAGCUUAUUAUGACAAGAAGAGCUGAACGCGUUCCAGACAGAUCAAAUUCUCUACGUUCACAUCAAUUCAGCACUUCAAAUUGCUGAUGCCCAGGCUAGCAUUGUGGACUUAGUACGACUUAAAGAAGUGGCGAGGGCGAGUUGAGAGUGUCUCGAGGGAAACAAAAUAUUACAUGCAUAUCAAAUAAGACGUAAGGAGACUGUAUACUGAUUGGAGGUUGAAAAGCGUGAUACCGAGAUAAAGCAUAGAUCGGUGAUUAUAUAUCUGAAUGAUUAACCGCACAAAAGGCGGUGAAGACAACUAUUAAGAUUACGUCUUUAAAUCCACAUACAUAAUUUCAACAACUCUACUUAAGAAGGCAUUAGGUUCAGAUAUGUGAGAUGGAUUGAACUUACUUGCUCAGUUAGUGAUUUAUUCCUAUCCUUCUCAAUCUGCAACUCCCGUAACUUUGACGACUCCAUUUUUGAAAUCCUGGAAAAGAAGAACAUUUCACAACUUUAUCAGAUAUAGAUGCAAUGAAAUUGUUACUUUAUCGCAACUCUUUGCAAUAUGAUCUCGUACUUUUCCUUCAAGGCAAGGUUUUCAUCUUUCAACUGCUGGAUAGUGAGCUCAGGUGACAACUGACGAGCUGGUGCUUUCCCAUUGCAUGUUGCUUUAACUUCCUGCAACUAAAACCCAAACGAAAAAAAAAGAAAGAAAGAUGGAUCACAAAUACUGAGUGUUGCCGUAAAUAUACCGGCUGGAAAUUACUUUUGACACAAGCUAGCAUGUUCUAAGCUAACUCAGAAUCUCAAAGCACAGGUUUUACCAGAUCAGUAGCAUAUAAAAUUACAAUUACAUGCAUAGAUUAAAUACCAAAGCAUGGAUAGAUGAGGCAAAACAGAUUCUCUUUAUAUAAUGAUGCCAAACUGUGGAAUGGAGCUCAAUAUUCUUAUUCUAUUUUAUAGUGUUCAGACAAUUUUCCAGAAAAUGAGAAAUACCAGUUUGAACACCCUCUAGGGUUGUCAUACUGAGAAAGGAGAAAGACAAACCUGCUAAAAGUGUGCAAAUCUCUGAAAGUUGAUUCAAUCUUAUCUUUUAAUGGUCUAAUCUACCAACCUUUAAUUUGCCGGUUACCAAUAAGGAAACUAAAAUAUCUCAAGAUUAAUUAGACAUUUCGAAUGGGUUGAUUACAAAUUUGGACCUUGACCUUAGAUACAAAUCUCAACCUUAGACUUCUUACUGUAACAAUUUAGUCCCGGAAGUUUGCCCUUAAUUUCAAUUUCAGGCUCCAAAUUUCAAUUUGGUUCCUGAAUUUUGAUCUCCGUUUCAAUUUCAUACCUGAAGUUUGACCUUGAUUUCAAUUUUGUCCUCAGAGUAUCAAUCUUACGAAGGAAAGAUCUGACAAUGGUGCUGAUGCGGCACACUUUCAGAUGGUAGAAAACCAAACGGAGUUAAUUGUUAUGCAGAAAAAUGUUCAGGGACUAAAUUGUGAAAUCAAGGAGAAAUAUUUAGGGACUAAACAUGUCAUUAAUCCCUUUCGGAUUUAACAAAGGAACGGUACUUACCUUUGACUUAGAUCUGGUCGCAAUUCCUUCGAUUGCUUUAGCACCACUAGUUGCACUAUUAUUCACUCCAGCUCCUGCGUCAACCGGGCGUACUCGCGAAGGCAACGGUGAAGACCUACUCCCCUUCUGGAAGGAUUUUUGAGCAGGAGACCUACUCCCCUUCUGGAAGGAUUUUUGAGCAGGAGAGGUCUUAUGGCUACGAGAUCUGAAUCUCUCUGAGGGGGCAAACUCUGGGUCACUCUCAUCAGAUGAUUCAUUCAAUUGUGACUGUGAAGAUUCGGCACUAUUAAAUUUCGAGGACAAUGACUUCCCACCCUUCUGAUUUUUCUGAUUCAAGUUGUAUAUAGACUUCUCUGAUUGUUGAACUUUGGCUGAAUCUUUCGACUUGCCAAAAUUAGAUGCACUUGCUGGAGAAACUCCCUUCCCAGAUCGAUGAGAUGAUGGAUGAGGAGCAGCCUCGGGUGAGCUCUCUGCCACAGAAUGGCAAUAGUUUCAAACUUCAAUAAACACCGAGCUUAUGCAGAUGCAAGGUUUUAUACUGAAUUUGUAGGUGAAAUAUAUUAACAAUAAUUCUUAUAUAUGUGCCUGUAAUGAACAGAAUCCUUCCACAAUAGGGUCAAACUGAAGCCGUGAUAUAAGCCAUAAAUCCAUAACAUAAUCAAAUGACGAAAGAGUUUUAGAGAUCCAAAUCUGACCCCAAGUCAUGCCAUUCUAUGAGUUAAUACUUGGCAAAACUAAUGAAAGGGGGGAACAAAAAUCCUUGAAAACAGGAAGGACAUUAUAAAAGAAGGAGAAGCAACUUAGAAGAUUAGGGAUAGUAAGGAAUAGGUCAAUUUUUGGGAGAAAAAGUGGGUUUCAAAGCACCUUUCUAGAUUUCAGGCAUUCAGUUUAACAUACAAUCUACUUUGCUUAACUUUAGAAGAGUUAGAAGUUCUUUCUAUACCUCUAGCAUCUGAUUGAUCAUCUUUCUUAUUACGAAAUUGGACAUAGCCAACUUUAUGAGAGUUCGUUGACCUGGGGGGAAAAAAGAAAGAAGAAAACAUAAGUAACAGAAAGCAGUUUAUUGGUACUAACAUUUCGUUAAGCUAGAUGCCAUAAAUGCAAUAAAAGCAGACCAGUAUGAUUUCUGCAUUUGGACUAAUCGUGCUUCAAGUCGAGAGAGAAUUGUUGUCCGCUCAAAAUCCUGUUUAUCAUGAGCUGGUUCAACGAAAUUGGCCUCCAAUACACCUGUAGUAUAGCAUGUCGAAUAGUUGUAAAUUUGUCAUCAUUGCAAAAAUAUUAAGAAAACAAAAGAACAAAAUAGGAGAUACCGAUAACACCACGGCCACCACUACCAGCAGCAGUCCAAACCCUCCAGAAAGGCUAGAGAAAAAGGAGGAAGAAAAAAAGAGAAGUGAAAACCUUGCAUUGUAGGAAGCACACAAAGUAGAAAAAAGGAAAAAACUUGUGUUUUUGGCAUAGUUGUCAUCAGGCACUUGAGAGUAACUUCAACUAGAAUAAUCAAGGAUGCUCGAUAGCUCCAAAUUGCAUAUAUUUGUAUACUUGCAUGCAUGUAAAUGUCAAUUAGAAUGCUUUCAAACCAGUAGUUGUUUCCUAGAAGCUUUUGGACUAGACAUUGUGAUUCACCCAAUAGGGAAAAGAAAAACGUGAUUCAUGGGUGGAGUUCCUGCACAUUCAUCUAUAUGCCUGAGUUCUAUCCAUCUUUUCCGAUAAGCACUUAAACCUUAGUGCUUUCCUUGCAAGUAUAGCAAUCUUCAACUACAGAGGUAGGGCUUCACCUUACUUACAAAAGACCCAAAAUUUUCAGCAUGAGAUGCGAUGUUGCUAUCUUUCAUCUCUAACGAAAGUCAUAUUAUUUAAACCAUGCCGAUAAUGAUGUUUGUUUUAUAAUUUUUUGCGGUCUAACAAUACUUCUUUAAAGUUUUAAAUCACAUUCACUUCAUCUUUGAGUUAGGAAAAAUUGUUCUCCAAUACAAUGGAUUUUGCAAAGAAGUCAAUCUUAGCACGUGUUUGUGGUCAGAAAUAAAAUUAAUGGACUCAAAGCUGUUCUUCGUAACUGGAUCACCUUUGUGGCUUUUGGCUUCAGACAAGUUGUUCUCUACUUUCCUUCCUAUACUAGUGAAAUACCCGCGCGAUGCUGCGAAUAUAAAAAUAUUUUUAUAAUAAAUUUUACUUUUUUUAAUAUUUUUAUAUAGUUUUAUAAGUAUAAUUAUUAAUUAAAUAAAAGUUAUAUAAAAAUAAUUUAAUAGUUAAACCUAUUUAAAUAAAAUUCAUUAAAAUUAGUAUAUGCGCAAAGUAAAUUUAUCGAACAAUUUAUUUUAUAAAGAUUUAUAUGAAAAGGAUUUGAGAUAAAUCUAUCAAAUAAAAUUGUAGAAGAAAUUGUUUAAUAAAAAUUAAUUAUAUAUAUACACAUAUAUACAUUAUAUUUCUAAAAUUUUACUCCUGAAAUUUAAACUCUGUAUUUUUUUAAUACAGCGAUAUUUUACGUGAUUUAAAUUGCAUAUAUUAGGUUAGAUUUUAUUACGCGGUUUAUUACACGUAUUAUUAAUAAAAUUAAUUAAAUAUAAUAUAUUAAUUAAAUAUAUUAUAGAGAUUAGAGAUUUUAAAUUUUAAAUUUUGAAGUUUAAAAUUUGGAAAUAAAUAUUAUAAGUUAAAAUUAAAAUUGAGAAUUUAAAAUAUAAAAUAUAAAAUUUGAAAUUUAAAACUUUUAAAUUUGAAAGUAUCAAAAUUUUAAAUUUUGAUAUCAAAAUUUAAAAUUUUAUAUUAUAUAUAUUCAUAUAUGUAUAUAAUAUAUGUAGAGGGAGAGUUAAUUAAUUAAUUUUAUAGAGUUUAGAGAUUUAAAAUUUUAAAUUUUGAAGUUUAAAAUUUGAAAAAAAUAUUAUAAGUUAAAAUUAAAAUGAGAAUUUAAAAUAUAAAAUUUAAAAUUUAAAUUUAAAAAUUUAAAAUUUGAAAGUAUCAAAAUUUUAAAUUUUAUAUUAUAUAUAUAUAUAAAUAUAAAUAUAUAUAUAUAUAUAUAUAUAUAUAUAUAUAUUAUAUAUCAUUUAUAUAUAUAUGUAGAGGGAGAGAGAGAGUAAAGGAGGGUUUGGGGGGACACGUGUCACCCCUUGGUCCCCCCAAACCCUCCUUUAAUGUAGCAGAAAGAAAGAAUAGAUUUUUCUAAAAUAUAUUCAAGUUCCAGCCUGCUCCAAUAUUUGCUUAAAAAGGUUCAACUGAGCCGCUGGUAUGAAGGAUUUCUUUUCUUAUUUCUCCCUCUUAGGAAACUUAAAUAAUAUAUCAUUGAGAGCACAAUAAUUAGUAUGUUUGCACUAAAAAUUUGAAAAGUGGUCUGUGAAUAUAGGAAGACAUGAGAGCAAAAUAAACAGGACAAAAAUAAGGAGAUAUACCUUUAUUAGUAGAAGAAAUAAGGAGAUAUACCUUUAUUAGUCGGUUCUUGUGAUAAACAUUAAAUCCCUGAACAUCAAUGUGAUGUUUUGCAUCCUUUACAAAACCAAUUGUCACAACAGCAACCAUCUAUGAAGUGGAAAAGAUGGGUGGAAAAAAAAUCAGAUAUAUAUAAUUUGAAGUACAAAGGUGAAGAAAGGGAAGCAGAAGCGGGUAUAGAGCUUGGCAUUACAUUAGGGUCCUUUGAAUGCCCAUCAGCAUACUGCGGCCGAUAUGUAACCUCUUGCUUAUGCAUCAUAUCAUUCACAAUAUUGUGGUGUUCAACCUCCUUUCCACGCAGAAUCAUUCUAAAGAAAUGCGGAAGUCUGAGGUAGAGAAUAGAGGCAUAACUCUGCAUGUAGGGAAAAUAGAAUAUAGCCAUAAAAUAAAACAUAUCAAUCACAUCGAAUGCCAGUGGAUGUUAGCAACGCAAUUUCAAUGUAAGACUAAUUACAGUUAAUUAGGGUAAUGUAUGUUACUCAAUUUUGAUGAUGGUAACUCAUCAAAGAAGGGAAAAACAGUUAAUUGUAGCAAUAGAACUGCCUUAAAAACUAUCCAUCAAAGCAUAUCAUUUUUUCGAUGAUACUCUGAUUCAUAUCAAAAGAUGAAUUGGUUGCAAACAUAAGGUGAUUAAGACCCGAUGAUUGAUGAUUUGUUGUAUAACAUUAUUGAACUUGAGAGGAUAAUUUAUUGUAACGAUAUUAUACAACGUUACACACAAGUAAUCUCCUUAUUUCCACUAGCUUGCGUUUUGACUUGUCUAUAGUUUCACAACUGAAAAUUAAGGCAUCAGCAAAAGAAAAGGGCAGAUACUCUUUUUGCAUGCUUUGAAGAAAUGCAAACCUGUUUUGCUUUUGAUUGCACUGCAGUUACUCUCUUUUGCAGGUUAAUUGUCAACUACUAACAUCCAAAGCAACUUGAUAGAAUAGAAGCAACUUUACGAAAUGACCAUCACUAUCACACAGUUAUCUGGUUCCACGAAAGUAGGAUCACUACAAGGGAAUAUUAGUAGAUGGUCCCAACUUCAACAUUUGUAUGUUAACUUUUAAUAAACAAAUUAGUUGCCAUGUCUUAGCAUUAAGUUAAAGAGACAGAUAAAACUUAAAUGCCAUUAAAUUAGACAAUCAGCUAAUAUAAAAUCAGAAUUUUUUUUUAAAAAAAAUCAAAAGAUAAAAGUUUCAACAUGUUUAACUCUACUGGUGACAACAACUACAUUACUACGUCGCUUAUUUACUAUAAUGGGAAGCAAACUGCUCUAAAAAAACAUCAUGUGGCUAGAAAACAAUAGCACUUGCACUUUUCAGGCAGCGUAUAUGACUAGAGCAAGGUGAGUAAGCAAGCCAUAAGAGUAAAAGAAGAUAGUGAAACUACUACAGAAGAAGAGAAACAAUGCUACUUAUAUGAUAUUCUACACUGAAGUCCAGAAGAGUCACCCUUAGAGAAUGGCGGUAUGUCAGGAAAUGCUUCGAGUUUGGAAACUGCUUAGCCAUUUGAAUAUUUUUCUCCUCCCGGUUAGCACCUCUAACUUGAAUGUCCUGCCAUAUCAAAGAACAGCAAAGAUCUCAAGAGACGUAGAGAUUGGCUAUGGAUACUGAUGGUAAUUAUUUAAUUCAGAAAAAGACAAACACUUAAUUGCCUGAAUACAAUGAUUUCCGCGACACGAACUAUUGUAGGGACAGUAGCUCAUCUUACUAACUGGCACUUACAUGUUUGUCAGUAUAAAAAUCGAGUUCCAAUUCUCCUUGAUCAUCCUCCCAUAGGUUGUAUAUCACUAUUCGAGUUCCCUGAUCCUUCAGUGAGCUAAACUGCAACAAGUCAUAUCAUUAGAAAACAGUUAUUCUAAAACUAGCCCUGUACUAUUUUUUAAGGACUUGUACUUCGAGUUUGAGUGCACUAAACAAAUAAAAAUCAUGGUGACAAAGCUGACGUCUCACAAUUUUAGGUUGUCCCAACCCAAAAAGUUGCAACAUAAUGACUUUUUUUAGACAUAAUGAAGAAGAACAUGAGCAUACCAUUCUGCAACUUAAGGGAAUUAUCUCAUUGUCGAACCUUUGGUUUUCUUUUCCUUUCUUUUAUUUACAUACACCAUGACCAAAGAGGAAUUUAAUACCCACAGAAAAGCUCAUUAAUUCCAAGUGAUUACACACCGCAGGUCAUUUUGGGUGGUGAAAGGUUAAAAAACAAAACCUUGGCAACUUACUAACAUAAUAAAUAAUUUAAUAAUGCCAUUUAAGUUGUUAUCAAUAAUUCUAAGGCCAUUUAUAGUUGAACGAAAAGGAUAUUCUGAUGCUUAUUUCUUAGUUGGAUCAUUUAGUCAUUAAAUAGCUGAUCAGCAUUGACCAGAAAACCAAAAUAAAUCUAUAAUCAAGCUUUAAAUAAGAAUUAAAACAUGUAAAACCUAGCAAAGCAUAACUACAAAAUAUAUUUAUUUGAAAUCAGUGUCACAGGUCCAAUGGAAAUGCAUUACCUGCUGAAGAAGAUCAGCCUCACUUGAAUAAGGAGACCAUUUUAUAAUUGUCUCUAAGUUUGUAUUCCAAUCAGCUGGAGUUGUUCGUGUCAUUUGAUUCCAGCCUUUUUCCUUUUCAUAAUCAAGCUGCAAAGUCAGCAUAGCAAUUAAUAUCACGCCGGAAAAGAAAAAGGACUACAGUCCAACUAGAAGUUGAUAAACGAAGGCAAUUGUAACGUAAAAGGAACACGAAGCAAAAGGAAAAAAGACAGAAAAAGAAAAGGAGACCAUUUACAUGUUCCUGAAAGAAAAGAGCAUAAACACAAACCUGAAGAACUAUAAAGAAAUAUAGAUUGUUUUCCAACAGUCGCUUUAAAUAUAUAGAAUGUAUCCUUCUACAUAAAGCUUUAACAGAGAUAACAUGACGUAGAUAACCCAAUAUUCAAUGUCUGAAUUAGAUUCAAAUAUACUUAGUCUUGCUUUUCUGUUCCACAUUUACACAGGCACAGAAUGAAAAGGUAUUAGACUAAGAAUUCUUCCUCUGCCACACUUACUCCUUAAAUCAACUGCACUAUCCCAUCCCAACAAGUUGCAAAUGCUCAAAGCCACCAGCAGUGGAUUCAAAAUAAUAUAGUGUCAGAAGACGGAUCCAUCUGGGUAAUUAAAAUAUCAGCCUUGGCUACGCUGAUUAAUCAUAACUCGUCAUGUUAAUAACUUAGUAUCCCACUGUUGUCUAAGGACUCUUAAGGUUAUAUCACCCAUCAUUGUGGACUCACUUCUAAGAUUAAAGAGAAAUAUCUACAUCACAAAGAAGAUUAUCCACCAAACAUAGGGGUAAAGGAUUUCUGCACGUAGGCUACAAUAGAAAAGUUUGUCAAAGGAUGUAAAUAUAGCAUACCAUUGGUACUACAAUAUCUUCUUUCCCCGUGCUUCGUAGGAAGGUGUACGAUAGCAUUCCAAUACUCUGUGUGGGCCUACAGACGAACACCCAUCACCCGAAUCCGCCAAGAAAGGAAAAAAGAAAACAAGAGAGAUGGAGAAUCAAUCUCUGCAUGAAUGAAAAGAAAACAAUUUGAUGCAAACCAACAUUGUAACUUAACAUUCCAUGAUCCAACAGCCUUUCUUAUAUUUGGUUAACAUUCCAUAAUCAACAGCUUUUCUAAGGUUCCUUUUAGCUAAUCACAUUGUUGAGGAAGGCUUUACAUAUGACAGCGACAUGAUAGAGAUGAUUAAUGUAUACAUGAAUUUACCCACAUUGGUGUAAGAGCAAAUUGACAACCUUUUUCCAUCUUUUCCACGACUACGGGAGAAAACAAUAACAUCAGCUCCAAGUCUCAUGGUGCUAGUCUUGAAGCCAUUUCCAUCUGAAACAUGGAGAAAUCUUGCAUGUUGAUCAAACGUUACCACUAAAUAUCCAUAAAAGGAUGCAUUUUAAAUUUAAAAGUCUAUUUUUCCAGUCGGUAUGUUUGAUACUCACAUUGUCCAAUAGUGCUUGCCAUUUUGCACUUUGCUGAAUAACCCAAGGACAUGCAUUGACGCAUUUUAUCUGGGUCCAUACCACCACCAUUAUCUGCAGAGAGCCACAAAAAUGGAAAACUUAUUUACAUAAAACCUAAACAUAUACUGUACUCUAUUUCACCUGAUUCUAUGUAAAAGAGAAGAUGGAAUUGCUAGAACAUCAUCAGAGCAUAAAUGAUUGCUGAAGAUCAAAUACUAGCCGAAAGAACAAAUAAGUUAUAUAACAUGAUCCAAAAUGUUCUAAUAGUGGCAAACAAUCUGGCUAUACUUGCAGGCGCAAAGCUAGUCAAACUACUCAACAAGGCUUUGUUUUUCUAUCAAUUAGAAAGAACAAAAAAAAGGUUCCCUACCUUCAACCAGCAACAUUCUUGAGCCGCCUUUAUUAUUAUUUAACAUAUCAAUGUUCACAUAUGUAGCUCCAUUGCAAACCUGUAAAUGAAGUUAAUAUAAGUAUAACACCCAAAUGAAGCAAGUGGGAAAAUUUAUGUUGCACAGUUCGAACUAGAAGAGUACCUCAUCAAGAGCAUUAUCCAAAAGCUCAGCCAAAGCUGUUACAGCAAAGAGUAGAAAUUCAUAGAAAUUCGUCAGAUGAAUAGAUCAAAGACAGCUAUGCAAAGACUACCACCUCACUAUUAGCUUUGUAGGUUCCCAUUAUAAAUUAAAAGCCUGUUGGGCCUAAUUAGAGAUUUUAUAAGAGUGCUGUUUUAGCAAAGUUGUUAGAAAAGCACUAAUAGCUUUAAAAUUAAAAUCCUCAAAAGGCAAAACAGCUUCUCACUGCAACAGAUGAAGCAGCUUCACAUAGAAACUUCCACUUUUGGCUUCACAAGCUUAUUUUAGCUUUCAUAAAUAGCAAAAGCACAGAUACUGUUUGAGAAAUGGCCGACAGCCGCUUUUGGUUAGGGAGAAGUCCAAGCCAGACCAGAUCAAGCCACAAUAGAAGAGUCAUUGAAUGACAACAAAAAGUAGCCUCCUCACUCCUCAGAGCCUCAAGAGUUAAAUUAGACAAAAAGUUUACCUCCAAGGGCCCACUUGUGACUGGUAGCAUUUGAAUGUAGAAACUUAGGGUGCACUCUGACAUGAUCCAUCCCUGCUCCUGUAAAUUUUUUUUUUUUCCAAUGUUACACCCCUAAUCCUUGAGUGGGAAAAAAAAAUGUGCCAAAACAGAAACGCCGACUAAAAGGAUAUAGUAAAAGAAAAAAUUUAAAUAAGUAAGCUCACUCCAACUGUCAAAAAUGUAACAAAAGGAAAGGGAUGUUAACAAGCUAUUGAUAGAGCAGAUGUAUUGAAUACCAAUUGAAUACUCUGCAGGUCCAAUGUACCAAUUCUGUAAAUAACAUUUCUAACUCCGUCAAUACAACCACCACAAUGAAAUAGUCAUACAUAAAAUACAAUAGCCAGUUUGGAGCUGGAUAUAUGAAUGGUAACUCUAUAUAUAUAUAUAUAUAUAUAUAUAUAUAUAUGGAGGCCCUUUACUAUAGGCCAUUUGGAAAGUUAUUUUAGUCAAUUAAAUUGGGGAUUUUAUCAAAUUCGCAGUAUAUUCAUCAAAUUUAAUGAUUUUAAUCAUUUAUUGAUAGAUAAAACUACACAAAUUAACGGCUAAUAGCAAACAGAGCUAUUUAAUUUAACCAAAUUUUUGACAUAACUAAGUACAGCAACUCAAUUUUAAAAAAAAAAAAAGAAAUUUGACGUUAAGGGGGCCUCAAUCAAAAUAAAAAUAGUUGAGUCGGCUCUUUCAUAAUGGUCUAUAGUUGAGGGGGUCUUCAUACAUUUUUAUUCAUACGAGAUUCACCAACAUUAACUUAACUUGUCACCUCAUACAUUUUCAUUUAUAUUUGUUGCCAAUAAAUCAGGUUUUUCCAAGUAUAUGCUAACAAAACUUCUACUUCUCACUGUGUAUGAGCAAAUAAAUGUACUCAAAUAGCAUAAAAAUUAUUAAUAAGCACCAAUAACCCACUCAAAAUGACACACAUGCACCAUUAAUAGGAAAUACACGACUAAAAUUGCAUUUCCUAUUUAGAACAAAGGGUUUCUACUUGCGGAUGAUUCUAAGUCACUACGAAUUCAUGAAAUAAUCAAUUGUACUAAAUAUUUCGAAAAAAGAUCAGAAGAACACCUGACAUGGGCGUGGAAUCGACACCGCCGAGGCUCCCAUCGUAGUCCCCGGCCUUCCAAAACUGCUUGGAACCCUGAAUCGCCGCCGCCGCCGCCGCCGGAGACGGCGCCGGAAGCGGGAGCGGCGGCGGGGCCUCCGGCGGGAGCGGAUCGAGGAAGCCGACCGGGAGGGCCUUCGCCCUCGGCCUCUUCGGCCGCGCCCCCUCAGCCUCCGCCUCGGCUCCGGCCCCCGAAACCCUAGGCCGCUUCGCCCCUACUCCGCCGCCGCCCCCCUCCUCCUCCGGGUCGGAGUCGCUGUCGCUGCUGCUGAGCUCGAUCACCGCGUCGGCGGGGGCGAGUGACGGCGCCGCCUCCGCCUCCGCCGCCGCCGCCGCUCCGGCGAUCGGCCGCGGAGGCGCGGGGGAUUCGACGAUCUCCUCCUUAACGAGCGAACCCAUGGGAAAGGGGGAGUGCGAAUUGGAGAAAUUAGAGGGGCUCUUUUGCAAAAAGGAACGAAGAGGGGGAGGGGCGAGGAAAAGGAAAAGGUCUCUUUCUCGGGCUCGGAGAGAGAGGCCCUUUAAAAAUUAAAAUAAAUAAAUAAAUAAAUAAGGACAAAUUUACGCCAGGACCCUUGACAAAAAUUUAUUACAUUUAACUCCUAGAACAGUGAAAACUCACGGUGUUUUUGUGGACCACGUUCACCACGUCAUCAUAGACCUCAACGUAUGCAUAUUCCUUUUUCUGUGAUCUCUACCGUACGUAAGGGAAAUAUUUUCAUAGGUGAGAGAAAGUGAAUUUGAUGAACGGUGGAGAUUCAACGGGGAAGAGAUGGAGGGGUAAAAACUCUUGUGGUCUACGGGUGGCGCAGUACACAUGGUCCAGGUAGUAUUUUCCACCAGUGUACGCAAACGUGCUCUCCCCAACACAUACAAUGCAAUAUUGGGUGGUUAAAUGGUAUGUAGAUCCCUCAACUAUAAGUUAAUCUGGAACUAAGCCUUUAACUUUAUUUUUUACCAAUUAUAGUUUUUUAACUUUUUAAACUAAAAUAAAAAUUUGUUAGUAUCAGUUUAAUUUGACAUAAUCACGGUAAAAUAUAAAUAAAUCAAUAAUUUUAAUGAUAAAAUAAUUUAAAAUUUAAAAUAAUAAAAGUUUCAAAAAUAGCUGUUUUUGAAAUAGCCCCCUCAAUCCAUUUUUUUAAAAUUGAGUUAUUCAGAAAUUUUAUUUGAAAUUGUUUUUAAAACUUGAAACUUUUAUCAAUCUACUAUUAUUAAUUACUUUAAUUUAAUUUGAUAUUAAACUAAUUAAAUUUCCGAGCGUCAUUUUCAAGUCCAAUACAGUUUAGGGCGUCUCAGUGCAUUUUCACUCAGCAUCAAAUUUUCAGGAAAAAAAAAAAUAGUUGAAAAAUAGUUGAGGGCACUUUUCAAAUUUCCCUAUACAUUAGGGGGGAUACUGUACAAAUUUGCCUUUGGCGGGUUCUUGAAAAGAGUCGGCGCAGACUCGUGCUAGGAUUCGGACACGUGUAAAAUGAUCGGCGGAGAUGAUCCGUCGAUUUGAUUGCAUCAGGAUUUGAUUUGACGUGAGAGACAACCCGCUGAGCACGUGAACCGCACGUGAACUAGCGCUAUUUCAAAAUCUCUGGGCACAUGCUACGCACGUGCCAUAAGUGUUUUAUGAUUUUUUCUUAAAAAUUUUGGUUUUGCUCUCCAAGUUUUUAAUUUAUUUUAUUUGAGUCAGUAAAUAAUAUUUUAACUUCAAAAUUUAAAUGAGUCAUCUAUUUUUUUAGGUUUAGUUAGUAUACUUUAUACCAUUCUCGCUAUUAUAAAUUUAGGUCAAUUUGCAUAAAAAAUGAACAAGUUUAGAGCUUUUGCAAAAUUGAGUCGCUUUUUUUUAUUUACAGAUUCGGUCCGAAAUUUCAACAAACUGACCAAAAUAUUUUUAUAUAUUUUUCUCUCUUUUUUUUUCUCUCGUUUUUUCUUUUUUUUUCUCCGAAGAAGGCGACAGAGGCGGAAACAGAAAUGGUCCGCCCCGCCUCACCUCUGCCCCUCACGGUCUCGCCCUCACCCUCGCCCUCGGCCUCGCCUUUACCCGCGCACCCCAGCCCUCCAACCUCACUGAAGCCGUGCUGCGACCAUUUUUUUUUUUCUCCAACCCUCCUCCACCACCGUCGCGGCUCUCCGCAACGAUAGCGAGGACGGUACCGCGUCCUCUUCCUCUGCCUUCGCCCUCCACUUCCACUACAGCAGAUUUUCUAUCCGCCAAACAAAUCCGUCGUCCCCACCGCCGCCGACAAAGAGGAAGUGCUUUUCGGGACCGAGAAGCACGCUGGCGAGGGAGGCGCAAAAAAAUGAUUACACUCCAGCGAGGACGGUGGCUGCGAUAGAGAUAAAGGGAGAAAAAGAAUGAAGAAAAAGAUGAAAUCGUACAAUUAAAAUAAUGUUAUACUAUUUUAAAAAAAAAAUUGUAUUGUUUUAAAUGAAAGUUGUACUCUUUGAGACUGAAAUUACACUCUUUGGAAUGAGAAUUACACUCUUUAGGUGAAAAUUGCACUCUUUGGGUGAAAUUUAGACCAUUUCUUUUUUUCUUCUUCCUCCUCCUCCUUCCCCUCCUUUCUCGGGGUUUGAUUUGACGUCACCAGCUGAGCGCAUGAACCGCACGUGACUAGCGCUAUUUCAAAAUCUCUGGCAUUGUUUUAUGGUUUAUUUUUAAAAGGGAAAACUUCAAAUACCACCUAUGUGGUUUCGUACUGUCUCACUUUGGUACUCUGUGGUUUAAAGUAUAUCACUUUCGUACCAUGUGAUUUUAUUUUUCUCUUUUUGUUAUCCCCACCAUUAAUUUUUUUUGUAACAAAGUUAAAACUAAAGGGUAUUAAAGUGAAUAUUCGAUAAACUAUAGGUAGGGUAUCUGAAGUUGUUUGUAUAUAAUUUAACAAAAAUUUAACGGAGAGACUGAUGAAAAGAGAAAAAGCCACAGAGUACUAAAUUGAUACACUUUAAACCACGGGGUACUAAAGUGAGAACGUGCGAAACCACAGAGGUGGUAUUUGAAAUUUUUCCUUCUUAAAAAUUUUGGUUUUACUAUCCAAAUUUUUAAUUUAUUUUACUUGAGUCAGUAAAUAAUAUUUUAACUUCAAAAUUUAAACGAGUCAUCUAUCUUUAUAGAUUUUGUCAGUAUACUUUGUACCAUUCUCGCUACUACAAAUUUAUUACAGUGCAAAAUUAGCUUAAAUGUUAACUUAAAUUAAAAAAAAUUGAAAUCACUUGUAUAACUCUGCGAUGUAAUCUAUGUGGUGUAUUAUCUUUUUAUAUAGAUAGGUAAAACAUUUUUCGAUCAUAUUUUCUCAUUGCAUAUAAUAUAUUCUUUUCAAUGUUAGAUCUCGAAUGAAAGAAAAUUUAAAUAUUACUGAAAGUCGAUAUUAUAAAUAUGACAUUUAAUACGUUGAGCGCAAAUAUUCUCUUCGGUUAGAUUUUUAUUUCUUUUUGGGAAAGAUAUUAUUUUGGCAUAGUCCACACUUAUACUUGCGUGCAUAAUGCGUCUUACAUGCAGUAAAAAAGUAUAAUAAAAAUAUAUUCACUUUAUUUUCAUAAACAAUAAAAUAUUUUAUAUGUAUUUACAACCGCAUUGCAGUUGUAGCUGCACUACAAUUAUAACUGCGUGCGUAUUCAAAUCUGGCGUUUGCUUUGAUACAUUUAAAUUCAAUUGUUGCAGUUGUAACUGCACAAGGAAGCUGAAUAGUUGAAACUAUGCCCAAAUUGGCUGUAGUUUUAACUGCAGUACUGCAGUAUUUCGAGAGUAAUUUUAAACAACGAUAAACUUACCUUUUUAAUAACCUUUUUAUAAUUUCUUUUUCCUUUCGUCCAUACAGAGUAAUCUCAUCAAUUCAUAUAUAAAAUGGUAAAAAUUCGUAAAUGCACUUUUCAUUUGUAUGUAACCAAACAAAAUAUUUAUAAACUAUAACGCUUUCUAUUACAUCUAAGCAAACAAAAUGUAUGGAAUUAUAAUUGUUGCAUUUUCAACUACACUGUAUUUAUAGUUACGUUGAACCAAAUUGCCCCUAAUUCGGUUAAAAUAUGAUUCAAAAACCAUAUUUAGGUUGGCCCAAUCUCGUCCAUACAAAGUAAUCUCACCAAUUCAUAUAUAAAAUGGUAUAAAUUGGUAAAUGCACUUUUCAGUCGUAUGUAACCAAACAAAAUAUUUAUAAAUUGUAACACUUUCUACUACAUCUAAGCAAACAAAAUGUAUGGAAUUAUAAUUGUUGCAUUUUCAACUACACUGUAUUUACAGUUACGUUGAACCAAAUUGCCCCUAAUUCGGUUAAAACACGAUUCAAAAACCGUAUUUAGGUUGGCCCAAUUUCGUCCAUACAGAGUAAUCUCACCAAUUCAUAUAUAAAAUGGUAUAAAUUGAUAAAUGCACUUUUCAGUCGUAUGUAACCAAACAAAAUAUUUAUAAACUGUAACGCUUUCUACUACAUCUAAGCAAACAAAAUGUAUGGAAUUAUAAUUGCUAUAUUUUUAACUACACUACAUUUACAGCUAUGUCGAACUAAAUGGCCCCUAAUUCGGUUAAAAUGGGAUUCAAAAACCUUAUUUAGGUUGGCCCAAUUUUGUACCCGGCCCGGCCCACGAAAUCACUUGCUCUAUUAAGGAAAAGGCAAAGUAUUAAUUAGGUUUAUUUUCACUCUCUCUCCUAAAAUCAUAAAUUUUAAUUAUGUUAAACUCUUUUUUUUUUUUUGCUAAUUUAAAUUGUUUGUGUUGGAACAGUGAACAUAUUUUUGUUAUCAUUUUGUACAUUUUAAAUCGAAACACUCCAAUACAUAAACUAUUUUUAAACUAUAUAUAAACAGAGUUGGAUUAUUAUACUUUUAUGAGUGUAGAUUCCUUCGUACUCAUCGAUUAUUUUUUAUGACGGAGCUUCCGAAUUGACGGUUCCAUACUAUUAAAUAUGAUGUAGAGUAUUUGAAACUUUUAGAAAUAAAUUUCGUAAUUUUUCAAAAUUAUAUUAAAGUCCAUCAAGCAGGCAUAAAAUGAAUGGUCAAAAUUAAGCGACCUUCUAAAAACAGAUGAUUGAAUUCUUCAAUUUGACAUUGGAGUUAUUGAUCUUUAUUUAGAUAGUAAAUAAAAUUUUCUAUUAAAAAAUUUAACCAAUUCCGAUUCUUUUACACCGUUGGAUUAGCAAGUAUCUCAUACCGGCCGUUAAAAUUUAUCAAUUUUGAGAUCUUUUGAUCUAAGGUAAAUGAUGUUGAAAAAUUAUGAAAUUUGAUUUCUAAAAGUUUCAGAUGCUCUAAACCAUGUUUAACGGUAUAUAUGGAUCAUUGAUUCGAAAGUUUUAUCAUUGAAAAACGACUUAUGAGUAUGAAGACGAUCGUAUUCAUAAGAAUAUAGUAGCCGGACGCAUAUAAAUAAGUUGUUAGCUUUAAUACCACGAAAUUAACUUCUAAACU